rnacentral:tRNA from 1 species
GUCAGGAUGGCCGAGUGGUCUAAGGCGCCAGACUCAAGUUCUGUUCCUCGAUUGAGGGCGUGGGUUCAAAUCCCACUUCUGAUA